rnacentral:rRNA from 1 species
CACCGCGGUUAUACGAGAGGCCCAAAUUGAUAGCAACGGCGUAAAGGGUGGUUAGAUCUUACAAUAUUACUAGGACCGAACUUAUCCCAAACUGUUAUACGUUUGCGGAAUAAUGAAGCCCAUAAACGAAAGUAGUCCUAACUAAUUGAAGCCACGAAAGCUAGGAAA